rnacentral:rRNA from 1 species
GACGAACGCUGGCGGCGUGCCUAAUACAUGCAAGUCGAGCGCAGGAAGCUGACGGAACUCUUCGGAGAGAAGGCAGUGGAAUGAGCGGCGGACGGGUGAGUAACACGUAAGGAACCUGCCUCAAGGAUUGGGAUAACUCCGAGAAAUCGGAGCUAAUACCGGAUAGUUCAACGGACCGCAUGGUCCGCUGAUGAAAGGCGCUUCGGCGUCACCUUGAGAUGGCCUUGCGGUGCAUUAGCUAGUUGGUGGGGUAACGGCCCACCAAGGCGACGAUGCAUAGCCGAACUGGGAGGGUGAUCGGCCACACUGGGACUGAGACACGGCCCAGACUCCUACGGGAGGCAGCAGUAGGGAAUCUUCCACAAUGGACGAAAGUCUGAUGGAGCAACGCCGCGUGAGUGAUGAAGGUUUUCGGAUCGUAAAACUCUGUUGUAAGGGAAGAACACGUACGAGAGGGAAUGCUCGUACCUUGACGGUACCUUACGAGAAAGCCACGGCUAACUACGUGCCAGCCGCCGCGGUAA